rnacentral:lncRNA from 1 species
CAUGUUUAUAUGUGCAGUUAAUCAGGAAGAAUUCAUGGGACACCACGGACGGAGGCUCCUCUGGAAUAUGGAACUGGGCUCUCAGGCUUCCUUUGCACUGCGUGCUCUCUUGUUCCACUUGAACGUCUGGUUCUAAAUUUGUUUCAUUUUCACCAUAAAAUGAGGGGGAAUCAUUGUGAUGAGCAGCGAGCCAUGGUGUGUCUCCCCCAAGACCUUGCUUGAGCAGAUUAGAAGGUGCCUUCAAAAGCCGCUUCUCUCUGCACCCACUCAUUCAUUCAGGACAUAGGUGAUAAGUGUUUCCUACAUGCCAGGCACAGUUCUGAAAGCUGAGGAUACAGCAGUGAACAAACAGAUGAAAAUCCCUGCCCUCCUGGGGGCUUAGAUUCUACCGAGUAUAGAAAGACAUAGAACAAAAUUAAUUUAUUAAGCGUCCCCUCGUGCCCAGCGGCUUAAGGAUCUGGCAUUGUCACUGCAGCAGCGUGGGUACUUGCUGUGGCUUGGGUUGGAUCCCUGGCCCGGGAACUUGUGCAUUUCAGGAGCACAGCCAAAAUAAUAAUAAUAAUAAACAAUUUGGUACAGGGGAGGAGAAAGGACAAGGCAGAGGAGGGGGUGGGGUGGGGGACUGCCCUCUGGAAGAAGGGGGUCAGGGAAGAUGACCUGAACAGCCUUGGAGGAGGUGAGCACGUGACCAGGGAGCUCUGAGGAACAAAAGGCUGCAGGGCACAGCAGAGGCAAAGGAUCGGAGACAAGAGCACGACCAGCUUGCCUGAGGAACAG